rnacentral:misc_RNA from 1 species
GAUGAAGAACGCAGCGAAACGCGAUACGUAAUGUGAAUUGCAGAAUUCAGUGAAUCAUCGAAUCUUUGAACGCACCUUGCGCCCCUCGGCAUUCCGAGGGGCAUGCCUGUUUGAGUGUCACGGAUCCUUCGAACCCCGCCGGUCUCCGACGAGCCGGCCGCCUGGGUUCGGUCCUGGGCGCUACGCCACCCCUCCGGGGCUAGCCCGCCUCAAAAGCAUCAGCUGGGCCUCGCGGCGUGGGCGGGCUCCGAUCGGCGUGAUAAGUCAUCUGCCGAGAGGGUGCCCGUCCGUCCCGCGGAUCGCGGUCCGCUCCCAACCCCUCCCCGCGCGCCGUCCCCCCCCGGGGAGCGCACGGGGACGUUUCGACGCUCUGGCCUCAAAUCAGGUAGGACCACCCGCUGAACUUAAGCAUAUCAAUAAGCGGAGGA